rnacentral:tRNA from 1 species
GGCCAGCAUGGCAUAGUGGUUUAAGCGUUGGACUAUGGCUCUGGAGACCAGGGUUUGAAUCCUGGCUUGGCCA